UACGGAGGGGGCGAGCGUUAUUCGGAAUUAUUGGGCGUAAAGGGCGCGUAGGCGGCUGUACAAGUCAAAGGUGAAAUCCCUCGGCUCAACUGAGGAACUGCCUUUGAAACUGUACGGCUUGAGGCCGGGAGGGGGUAGCGGAAUUCCCAGUGUAGCGGUGAAAUGCGUAGAUACUGGGAGGAACACCAGUGGCGAAGGCGACUACCUGGCCUGUUCUUGACGCUGAGGCGCGAAAGCUAGGGGAGCAAACGGG
rnacentral:rRNA from 1 species